GAGCCUCUCCCCGAUUCUCUCUUCCUCUCCGACCUCUUCACCUUCUUCCGGCCAUAACUCCUCCAUCCGGCGACGGAUUUUGACGUGUAAGAUGUCGUUGGAAAGCUCUCUUCCUUCUCUUCAUUUCUGGGUUCGUUUCGUAGCUUAAUAUGAACUGUGGAAGGUGCAGCAACGAGAAGAAGAGGACGGUCACUGUAGCCGUUUUGAGUCAACGCCGAUAUUUUCCGAUUCCGGCAGUCUCCGGCCACCAAAUUGGCGUCGAAGGGUUCUUGGAAUUUCUGGAAAAUUUUCACCGGCCAAAUUGGAGCUCUUCCAGGGCAAUGCCGCGAGCUACGGUUAAAUGAAGGAAUUCGUUUGCGUGGUCGCCCAAUAGUACUUUUGCAGGCGAAAUUAGUUGAGGUCGGGCGUACAUGGAGUCGAGGCAUAGCCAACAGCAUUGCUUCCGCGUACUCAUUCUAUUUCUGUUUUCUUUGUUACCUAGUGGAUUAGUAUUGCUCUGAUAACCUAUGGGAUUAAUAUUGUUUUUGGGUUGAGACUGAUAUUUGUGAAAUUGGAGUUGUGAUUUGGGGAGCAGAUGGCUCCAGAAGAUUAAGGAUGGAUGAUUUAGAAGUGUAAAUGUUUUCCUACAGGUUUUGGGUAGCCUACUUUUAGGGGAAGUUCUGCCAAAUUUUUGGUAGAAUCUCUUCUAAAGUGGGCCCCGCAGGGCCACUUCGGAUUUCAGGGUGAACUCUGGGGCGGGUCCUGUCACUGGAUGUAUUUUCCAAUGGCAACAUGGUGGGAAAGCUAUGAAAAUGGAUAUUAUGCUAUGCUGUCUUCGAGUUGUAGACCGAGUUAUCUUUCCGUUGUGUCACCGCUGGGAAGCAAAUAGAACCGUCUGGAGCGCGUUCUUUGCUAGUUGGUACGUAUUUGAAUACAAUUGUUUAGUAGAGACUCAUGAUAUUAUUUCAGGAUGUACUCUAGGUGCCUAUUGUAAUCAGGGGUUUAGGUUCAAUGUCCCCCCCCUUGUAUUCGACGGUUUCAU